UACGUAGGUGACAAGCGUUGUCCGGAUUUACUGGGCGUAAAGAGCGCGCAGGCGGUCGAUCAAGUCGAGUGUGAAAGCCCCCGGCUCAACUGGGGAGGGUCAUUCGAUACUGAUCGACUCGAAGGCAGGAGAGGGUAGUGGAAUUCCCGGUGUAGUGGUGAAAUGCGUAGAUAUCGGGAGGAACACCAGUGGCGAAGGCGGCGACCUGGGCCAAUAUUGACGCUGAGGUGCGAAAGCGUGGGGAGCAAACAGG
rnacentral:rRNA from 1 species